rnacentral:lncRNA from 1 species
ACCUAAUUUUUAAUUUAUUUGAUUCCAAUAAUUUUUAUUUUUUUAUAUAAAAUUUAAAUUAAUUAUUUAUUUUAAUAAAUUUAUAGUUGGGUGACUUGCGUAAUAUAUAUUAACUAAAUUUAAAAAGACGAACGGCGAGUUCAAAUUUUAAAAUUAAAGAGUCAUUAACUGUCUCAAAUCAAAUAUAUUAAAAUUAAAAUUUUUAAAUAUUAAAUAGUCAGAUCAAAUUU